UGCUAUUUUUAUGCAGUGUUUUAUGCACGCAUCCUGGAGGAGGCAAACAUAAUAUUAGCAAAAACAAUAAUAAACAACCGCAGAAAUUUUGCCGGAGCGUUGCACAUACCAAAAGGCAUUACGGUGUACUGCACAUAGUUGUCAGGUGUUACGAAAAUGUCUGAAGCACGAGGGGUCAGAGGCACUUACCAGUAACCUUUCAGCAAGUGUAACUUACUCACAUAUUUAGCAGAGCCUAUCCUGUUGAUACAGUCUUCCAUCCCAGGCAGUGGGAAAGAAUCCGGCACUAUGACAGAAUUCACACGACGAUAGUCUGUGCAUAAGCGGGACGUACCGUCUGGCUUAGGAACAAGAAUACAUGGAGAUCUCCAGGAGCUGUUACUGGGCUUAGCCAUGUCAUUCUUUAAUAAGUACUCAACCUCACCUUUCAUUAUUAGCAUUUACUCAAUAAGGAUGUUGCCGAAUGGGAGCGGUGUCCCCCACAUCCACGUCAUGUUCCAGGACAGAGGUCCGACUGGGAACAUCUUGAAACACAGUCUGUGCCAGGCUGCAGCACCACCGCAGCCACGCUGGAGACGGCGGGCUGGACCGGCAGGCUGAACGAGCCGUCAGAGGAACACUGUGCAUGAUAUGGCUUCAACAUGUUAACAUGGCACACACAGGAGGAGCGCCUGCGAUCUGGUGUCCUUAUAACAUAAUUGGUGUCACUAAGUUUCUGGUCCACAAGAUAUGGCCCUAAAAAACAGGCUGAUAAGGAUGAGCCAGGGACUGGCAGUAAAACUAACACCUGGUCUCCUGGCAUAAAUGACCGAUCUACUGCUGUUUUGUCAUGACGUACUUUCAUGCGUUUCUGGGCAGAAGAGAGAGACCCCUGAGCUAGCACGCAUGCGGUGUGCAGUCUCUCCCGCAUCUAACUGAUGUAGUCUAGGCCAUUCUUGGGGGCUCUACUGGGAGUAGGAGACAGGACAUGCUCCUUCAACAGUUUCAGUGGACCUCAUGGCGUGUGUCCGAACACGAGGUCUGCAGGGCUAAAUCCCAAAGACUCCUGAACUGUUUCCCUUAUUGCGAAUAAGACAAACUGGCAUCCAUGCAGUACUUCCUAAGCAUUGCUUUGAGUGUUUGGUGCCAGCGUUCGAGGGCACCCUGACUCUUGGGGUGGUACGGGCUGGAGACCUGGUGAGUAAUAGACAAAGUCUUUAGCACGGUAGAGAACAGUUUGGACAUGAAGUUGGUUCCUUGGUCAGUUUGGAGCACUUUAGGAAGUCCGAAUGUGGAGAAGAAUUUUAUCAUAGCCUUUACAACUGUUUUAGCCAUAAUGGUACGGAGAGUGAUAGCCUCUGGGUAACGGGUAGUGCUGCACAUAAUAGUAAGUAGGUAUUGAUUACCUGGCCGGGUUUUCAGCAGUGGACCCACGCAAUCAAUGAUUACACGCUCAAACGGUUCCCCCAUCACUGGGAUCGGAUGAAGUGGCGCACAAGGAAUGGGCUGAUUUGCUUUACCUGCGAGCUGGCACACAUGACACGUCUUACAGAACUGCACAAUGUCAGACUUUAAUCCUGGCCCAAAAAAAUGCCGGAGGACCCUGUUGUAGGUUUUCGUCACCCCUAAAUGACCGGACUAUGCAGGAUCAUGAGCUAGUGACAGCACCUGCUGUCACAAUGGUGUAGGAACAAUGACUUUCCGAACUGCACUCCAGUCGCUAACAGCGUUAUGCGCUGACCAUUUACGCAUCAAAACCCCUGCGUCUAUGAAGUAGGCGGUCUCCCUAAGCUUGGCCUCCUUAGGAGACACUACUGACUCAAAACACUUCAUAUUAAAUGAAGCCACUGUAACGGCACAGAAUUGGGCUUAUUCUCUAGGCCUUGUAAAAGGACGUGUGAGCCGCAGUACUUCUCAGCAGACCAGGGCAAACUGUCUGUGAGAAUGAGUGACUGCGCUGCACCAGUGUCUCGAAGGAUCUGAAUGCUUUUCUGAUCGGCUGGCUUUCCCGUUACCGAAAAACAACCGACAGACACAAAUGGAGCAUAGACGGGAUCUGGGUUUACUGCAUCCACAGAGACAACCAAUGUGCCUGGUAAACGAGGCACAGUCUGAACGAACCUAACACCUUUUGGUUUAGCGGUCGACGGCAGGGACUGUUUCGGUUUGCCUUUCAAAACCGGGCAGUCCGAUAUCACAUGGCCUAUUCGGUGACAGUAAAAACACUUGCGGGCCUCAGGCGAAGGUUUAAUGUCACAGGAUGAGAACCGAGGCGAACAAGACGCUGAUAACGUCGCUGUUCAGCUUUCAGAGCGAAUACGGUUUUGUGGGUUAAGGAAUACUUGUCUGCCAAUACAGCUGCCUGGGACCUCGUCGCCACCUUCUGUUAAUUUAAAUGAACAACAAUAUGGUCAGGAAGGUGGUUUUUGAAUUCCUCCAGCAGGAUUAAUUCCCUAAUUUCUGUGACGGUUGUAGCCUUGCUGGCUGCACACCAGCGAUCAAAUAGAGAUUCCUUGUCUCUAGCAAACUCUACAAAGGUGCGAUUUGAGGGUCUUUUGUAGUUUCUAAAUCGCUGCCUAUAGGCUUCUGGAACCAAUUAAUACACCCUUAGUACUGUUGCCUUUACUAACUCAUACUGCAAACUGUCUUCCAGGGAAAGACCGGCUACCACUUCCUUGGCUUUCCCAGACAAUUUACAUUAGAGGAGGAAAGGCCAAACAUCCUGUGGCCAAUGUAGCGCGGCGGCCACGCGCUCAAAAGCAGAGAAGUAGCUGUCUACUUCGGCCUCCCGAAAGGGUGGCACCAAAGCAAUAUUCUUGCUGACGUCAAACUGGGCCUGCUGACGAGAAGGCUACCCUCACCUUGAGCCUAGCGGCUGCUGAAUCAGAUCCGGAACCACUCGACUGAGGAGACAAUGGGUCAAACUUAGGCGGUGUCAGGGGGGCGCCAACAACUCCCUCCCGUGCACCGUCCUCUGACCGUGCAGGGGAGACAGAAACAACAGCUCCGUUCUCACCAGCCUCCUCUCCGAAGUCCAAGCCCUCGCUUUCCUCAUCCUUUAAGGUCAGAACUGAAAUAUGGUAGUGGGCAGCUAUAGCGAAGAGGUCUGCUUUCCACAGCCCUACCAACUGGCCAACCGAAGGUGAUUCACAGAAACUAGAGAUGGCCGAGUCAGCCAUAUGUACGCACGCCUGCCUACAGACCUAGACCUGGCGAACAACGAGACAGAACACCUAUCUCACGACCACUGCCUCCACACCACAAACACCACAGAGGCACUCAGUGUAGCGGGGUCGUAUGGAUCGUUUGGAUCCCGGACGAGCCCCCACUUAUGUUACGGGCGCCUCCCGGAGGAGAGCGUGCAACACCCCGCUACACGUAAAGUACCCUAUGACUUGACAGAAUGGGUAUGGGGUCGUGGGUGCGAGUAUGGACGACAGAGGCAGGACUACCGUUCACAGGAUUAUUUAUUUAACACAACGGUAAUUCAGGGAAAAGGGGUUGGGCGGAAGCAAAGAACAUAAAAAUAAACCCAAACCCUCUAACCCUACCUUACCUGUCAAACCUAACUAGCACCUCUUGCGCCGGUGCUCUAACCAAACUACAGGGGGUGUUCCCGCCCAGGUCUGACCUAGUGAUCAUACAUCCCCCCUGCUUUCACUUCAUUAAGUCAAUGGAGAGUGACACCAAGAGUGAAAGCAGAAUCAUGGCGAAUACGGCCACAAGAGGAGCCAUUCUGAACUCACACUAAACCCUCAUCAUUUCAGGAUGGAAUUGUAAAAUAGAGAAUUGGUAAUUGGGAUGGAUCUGGAAUCCAUUCGAUAUGGAGUUGCAUACUGUAUAUUCAU